UUUAGUAACGGCGAGUGAACAGGGAUGAGCCCAGCACCGAAGCCUGUGGCCAUUUGGUUACUAGGCAAUGUGGUGUUUAGGUCGUUCCGCAGAGACACUGCUCCUCUCUAAGUCCAUCAAUGAGUACGGUUGUACUGACAUGGCCCACGGAGGGUGAAAGGCCCGUAAGAGAGGAGUUUUGGUGUGACAGUGUCUCUCUGGAUUGACCUUGGAGUCGGGUUGUUUGGGAAUGCAGCCCUAAGCGGGUGGUAAACUCCAUCCAAGGCUAAAUACAAGCACGAGUCCGAUAGCGAACAAGUACCGUGAGGGAAAGUUGAAAAGUACUUUGAAGAGAGAGUAAACAGUGCGUGAAACCGCUUAGAGGUAAACGGGUGGAGUUGAACUGCAAUCUCUGAGAAUUCAGCUGGGGAAUUUUGCUUGAGCUUGGUCAAUUGGGCAGGGCCUCGGGGUAUGCUUAGUUGCAUGUUCUGAUCUUCGGGUCGGAAUGCGCGUUGCUCUUAUCAAGGGUUGCGCGCCCUGGGUGUCCGGCUGGCUCAUUCGCCAGUGCACUUUCUCAGAGUGAUCACCACGACCGGCGCUGCUGCUUGGCUGUUUUAGUUAAACCGCACAUUCAUCGUCCUUGUGGCGUUGGGUGGACGACACGGCAGGUAACUGGGGGCUCGCUUCGGCUUGCUUCUCGGUGUAUGCUGGCUCUAACGGUUCUGUGCAGUGUGUCGGAGACGGCGGCUUGUGGUGUGUGCAUGCGUGCCUAUUUGUUGGCAUAUUCUGGUUUGGUGGCUGUGUGCUUGUUCAAGCAGGCCCAGUUAUAGCCGGGGUGUGUCAGUGGGUGGUUGCGUGUGUGGCACUUUUCAGGGCCAACAGUCUGUGGUGUUGUGGUAGACUAUCCACCUGACCCGUCUUGAAACACGGACCAAGGAGAGUAACAUGUGCGCGAGUCAUUGGGCGUAACGAAACCCAUAGGCGCAGUGAAAGUAAAGGUCUGGCUUGUCCAGUCUAAGGUGAGAUCCUGUCGUUGUUCAUGCGCGGUACCACCAAGCUUGGAGCGAUAGGCGCAUCACCGGCCCGUCCCAUGACGUGGACAUAGUCUUCGGAUUGUGCGCCGUCGGGGCGGGGCAUGAGCGUACAUGUUGAGACCCGAAAGAUGGUGAACUAUGCUUGCGCAGGUUGAAGCCAGAGGAAACUCUGGUGGAGGACCGCAGCGAUUCUGACGUGCAAAUCGAUCGUCAAACGUGAGUAUA
rnacentral:rRNA from 1 species